UACGAAGGGUGCAAACGUUGCUCGGAAUCAUUGGGCGUAAAGCGCACGUAGGCGGCUUCGCAAGUCGGAUGUGAAAUCCCUCGGCUCAACCGAGGACGUGCAUCCGAAACUGCGAAGCUUGAGUACUGAAGAGGAUCGCGGAAUUCCCGGUGUAGAGGUGAAAUUCGUAGAUAUCGGGAGGAACACCAGUGGCGAAGGCGGCUCACUGGCCCGGAACUGACGCUGAGGUGCGAAAGCGUGGGGAGCAAACAGG
rnacentral:rRNA from 1 species